rnacentral:lncRNA from 1 species
UCCAAUAACUAGGAUACAAUAUAGUAAUGGUCCUUUUCUGGUUUUAUAAACCUAUGAGAAUAGAAAGGCAUAUACAAAACCAAGGGGUAAAUGUGCCAGCAGACAGGUAACACAAUGACAUAAAAGAACAUCAUGCUGUUAUAAACUGGUUUGUUUAAUUUAUGCUUCUUAUCAUAUAAGACUACCAAUAACGUAAUAUAUGAUGGUCAUUUCUAUUUAAGAGGCAACCCAAAUAACAGCAGAAACAACCCAAGUAAAAUUUCAAACAACACAACAUAACAGCGAAAUCGACCCAAUUAAAAUUCAUUUGCCACAGCCAGAUGAACACAAUUCUGAUAUAACCAGCCUAAACCAAUUUACUAAUCCUAUACAUCGACUGUAAUCUUAAAGAAACCAAUUUACAUUUCUAAUAAAAAUAGCAAGCACAAUUUACAUAUAUAACUAACAGUCAAAUACACUAACCAUCACAAUUGACCGAGACAAGUUCGAAAAAAUCAUUAUACCUUC